AAGGUGUUUCUCCUAUCUGUGAGAACACUGUGGAUCCUUAACGCUGAAGUUGAUUUCUUUAUUAGCUCUCACACUCGUGUAUUCACAGUUGAUUUGCUCCUGCGUCUUGCGUAGGGGUGGUGAACAGGGUUAAUGUUAACAGAGUGAGCAUCGAAGGGUUUGUGGUGUAGUUGGUCUGAGGGUCUUCAUUGGGUAAUAACGACUUUCUACUAAUCGAGAUUUCCCACUGAUCCGGUAUUUAAUGUGGGAUGACUGAGUUCUCCUGAAAAUCCUUAAGAAGAAACCUUCGCUGUACUGAAGGUGCGGUUAGAACUCUUCCCUUGUCUCGUAGCGGCUGAGCCAGCGGUUGGACGUUAAGCAAACCUCUGAGCUGGGGAAUGAAAUUUCGCAGCGUGACCUGGCGAUUGGCAGGUUCAGGAUCAUAGAGUCAUAGAAUCAUUUUGGUUGGAAGAGACCUUCAGCAUCAUCGAGCCCAGCCAUAACCUAACCUAACUCAAGCACUAAACCAUGUCCCUAAGAACAUCAUCUAAACGCCUUUUAUACAUCUCCAUGGUGACCAUCUUUGAAUUUGUGCUCUUUGAGGCUGAGAACAUUGACGACUGGAAGAGCAGCAGCUGCUGCGUGUUGGAGAGACAGUUUGUGAGCGAUGACCUCGGCUGGGGACAUCUCUCUCUCACCAAGGCCACCCAUUUCCACCUGCUCCUUGAUAUGGUGAUUUCAUGGAACUGGAGCCUGGGAGCUCCUGGUUCCUGUGGCCGUUCCUCCCGCAUUUCCGUGCUCACCGCUAUCCAUAACUUGUGACAGCAACGGCUGUCGGAUGUACAGGAGCAUGACAACUGCCACACAGGGCCGGGUCUGGAGCCUCUUUAACCCUGUGGUGUUAGUGAUACAGAGCGUUAAGGAUUUUAUCAUCUUUUUCCCAAUCUCCUGCCACUCAGAGGCUGUUUCUGCACCUCAAGGGAGAGCGAUCGCUGCUGCCCGGGGACCUGGGGUGAGCUGAGGGCGGAAGGUUCCAGGCUGCAUGUUGGAGCUGGCUGGGGCACAAGCAGGUGGAAGAUUUGCAGACAGACCAUGUCCUUCCUGUCUUAUCUUCCAUGAACUUUGCACUUUUAAGUUUCUAGUUUUUCAUUCUGAGGAAACGGGCUGGGAGUUGAAAAGCUCCUUGGUAAUUUUUUUGGGGAGGCUCGGCUUGGUUUCGCAGCAUCCCAGAAUGGCUGGGGUUGGAGAGGCUGAGGGAGCUGGGGCUCUGGAGCUGGACAAGAGGACACUGAGGGGGGACUCAUUCCUGGGGAUCAAGAUGGAAAGGGGGAGUGUGGGUUGUCUGAAUUUAGAGUUGAUGAGUUAGUUUUCUGUAUUUGGAGUUAAUAGGCUAGUUUGUUGUGUGAAUAAAGUUAAGUGUUGCGGUAGUUGUGAGGCGACUUGGAGGCGGGGAGCUUGUGGUCGGUGGGGGUGCCUGCGCCCUGGAGCCCUGGAGCGGGGGACAGCUUGUGACUACGAGAUAACGAUCUUGUUACCAUGCGAACACUGCCUGACUAAGAUUCCCGCCUUAGCUAGCUUAAUGUCUGUUAAAGUGAUUAGCCAAUCAGCAUGAAACAUGUGUGCCUUAGACUAUAUAAAUGUAUGUUUGCCAUACAAUAAAGCGGACACUUUGCUUGCAUCAAGUUGCGUCCCCGUCUCUCAAUCGCGGCAAAUUGGUGACCUCCGACGUGAUCGUCAGCGACGAAACCGCCGAGGAUUGAAAAACCGCCUACCUGGUGGCAUGUCGCGAGUCCCGCAGAACGUGGAAUGAGCUGCUGAAAGGAAGCAGGAUAAGCCGGCCGGCCAAACAAUCCCUCCGUCUGGAACGAGAGGGCUCGACAGCGAUUACUUACCCUGGCAGGCACGGACUUCGCCCUCAUAUGUAUGCCGGUAACAAGUGUUUACUUGCAAUGGUUACAACAACAAUCAGAUGCACUAGGCAUAGCUCUAACUGGCUAUGCAGGCCAACUCACUUCUCAUCCGCCUUCUCACAAAUUGUUAAGCAUCGAUUUCCACCUUUUACCUAUUCCAAAGCGGAGUGACCAGCCUUUACAAGCCCUCACUGUAUUCACAGAUGGGUCUGGCAAAUCUCACAAGUCUGUUAUCCUUUGGUGGGAUGAUCAUCAAGAACAGUGGAACUCAGAUGUAGAGACUGUACAGGGUUCUCCUCAAAUAGUAGAAUUGUCUGCAGUUGUUCGAGUGUUUCGAAAAUGGUCUAUUCCUCUCAAUAUAAUCACUGAUUCUGCUUAUGUUGCAGGAAUUGUUAGCCGAGCAGAAGCUUCUGUGCUACGGGAUGUUUCUCAUACGGCACUGUUCAAUUUGUUACAAGAACUCAUUUUCCUGUUAGAUUCCCGUCUUCACCCUUAUUUUAUUAUGCAUGUUCGAUCUCACACUUCUCUACCAGGUUUUAUUGCAGAAGGGAACCGACAAGCGGAUUUGCUUACGCUACCGGUGCAGGUGUUACCAGAUCGAUUAGCGCAAGCUAAACUCAGCCACUCCUUUUUUCAUCAAAACGCUGCAGGCCUUAAGCGUCAAUUUGACCUCACUAUACAACAAGCCCAUAAUAUCAUUGCGGUGUGUCCUGAUUGUCAAAGGCACUCUUUCCCUUCUAUAGCAGAAGGAGUUAACCCCAGAGGGCUACAAAGCCUUCAACUCUGGCAAACAGAUGUCACUCAUUUUGCUGAAUUUGGUCGUUUAAAGUUUGUUCAUUGCUCUAUUGAUACAUUUUCCGGAAUGUUAUUUGCCUCCUGUCAUGUAGGAGAAAAAGCACGCGAUGUGCAAAAACAUCUGAUGCGCGCCUUUGCUACUUUAGGGGUACCCUCUCAAAUUAAAACUGACAAUGGCCCCGCGUAUGUAUCUAAAACCUUAACGACCUUUUUUGCCUCUUGGGGUAUAUCACACAUUACAGGUAUCCCUCAUUCUCCUACGGGACAAGCUUUGAUAGAACGAUCUCACCAAACCUUAAAACGCCUGUUAUUAAAACAAAAAGGGGGAAUGGGGGCUGCUACACCAGAGGAGCGAAUACAGAAAGCCUUGUAUGUUUUUAAUUUUUUGAAUUGUUCCCUGUUAGACAGCAAUCCUCCAGUAGUUCGUCAUUUUAGCACAAACACCCUUUUUGAACCCAAGAUUAAGCCGCCAGUAUUGAUCCGGGACCCCGAAACAGGUAAGAUAAUGGGACCCUAUCCCCUUGUCACGUGGGGAAGAGGCUAUGCUUGUGUUUCCACAGAAAGAGGUCCCCGCUGGAUCCCAGCUAAAAAUGUGAGACCUUUUCGAGAGACACUGCAGCAGCCUCCUGAAGACAUUCCUGGUCCUGAUCCUGCGACUGACAUAGAAGACACUACCGAUCAAUAAUUGAAUGAACUCUGUUCCAGAGGUUAACAAAUGGGAGCUUAAGUGUCCCCAAUGUGAAAAAUGUAAUCCGUGGAUUUGUAGAAUUUGUGCUAAUUGUGGAAAAUCACAGUGGCUAAAUCGCCAUACAGUAGGACGCUGGUGUGAUAACUGCCUAACAAUUGAGUGGAAUACAGUUCAGGUGUUAUUGAUAACAGGUAGAGAGACAGAAUAUUCUCCCCGGUAUGAUUAUUAUUCUGACGAUUGGGGGAAAAUUGUAGCACAAAGGUCUGUGGACAUUUUAUAUUCUAAGAUUGAAUGCGCCAAAGACAUUCAAAUGAGCAUUAUUAAUAGUAAUCCCAUGUGUGUUACAAUGCUUCCAAAAUCAAUAACUGCUUCAAUGAACAAGAUUUUCCUCGUGCAGCAAGGAGCGGACCAAGAUCAGAAAGAAAUUACGAAAACCCCCAGUACGGAGCUGUUAGUAAGAUGUCCUCGAGUUGGUCGUUUGCCGACCUUGGGAGGGUCAGUUAAUUAAAACAAAAAGGGGGAGAUGUGGGUUGUCUGAAUUUAGAGUUGAUGAGUUAGUUUUCUGUAUUUGGAGUUAAUAGGCUAGUUUGUUGUGUGAAUAAAGUUAAGUGUUGCGGUAGUUGUGAGGCGACUUGGAGGCGGGGAGCUUGUGGUCGGUGGGGGUGCCUGCGCCCUGGAGCCCUGGAGCGGGGGACAGCUUGUGACUACGAGAUAACGAUCUUGUUACCAUGCGAACACUGCCUGACUAAGAUUCCCGCCUUAGCUAGCUUAAUGUCUGUUAAAGUGAUUAGCCAAUCAGCAUGAAACAUGUGUGCCUUAGACUAUAUAAAUGUAUGUUUGCCAUACAAUAAAGCGGACACCUUGCUUGCA